GCUGGUUUGGCUCAGUGGAUAGAGCGUUGGGCUGCGGACUGAAGGGUCCCUGGUUCGAUUCCAGUUAAGGGCA
rfam:Myotis lucifugus cont2.35458, whole genome shotgun sequence.